rnacentral:rRNA from 1 species
AACGAACGCUGGCGGCGUGCCUAACACAUGCAAGUCGAACGGAAUGAGGGGGCUUGCUCCUUCAUUUAGUGGCGCACGGGUGAGUAACGCGUAGAUAAUCUGCCUGAUGAUCUGGGAUAACAUUUCGAAAGGGGUGCUAAUACCGGAUAAGCCCACGGUGUCUUUGGACACUGCGGGAAAAGGGGGGGACCUUCGGGCCUCCUGUCAUCAGAUGAGUCUGCGUACCAUUAGCUAGUUGGUAGGGUAAUGGCCUACCAAGGCGACGAUGGUUAGCUGGUCUGAGAAGAUGAUCAGCCACACUGGAACUGAGACACGGUCCAGAAUCCUACGGGAGGCAGCAGUGGGGAAUUUUGCGCAAUGGGCGAAAGCCUGACGCAGCAACGCCGCGUGAGUGAUGAAGGCUUUCGGGUCGUAAAGCUCUGUCAAGGGGAAAGGAAUGCAUGGGGGUUAAUACCCCUUGUGCUUGACGGUACCCCUAAGGGAAGCACCGGCUAACUCCGUGCCAGCAGCCGCCGUAACAC